GGCCCGUUAGCUCAGUCGGUUAGAGCGUCGUGCUAAUAACGCGAAGGUCGUGAGUUCGACCCUCACACGGGCCA